rnacentral:lncRNA from 1 species
UAAUUAGUCGUAUAAUAUAAUAACAUAACAUAGAAAAUGUAUUGAUUUAAGAAUGUGUUUGUGAUCGUAAUCAAGAUAUGGAAAAGAAAUUCGUUGCCCAAAAGAGAUUCAAGUGAUAGAGAUUCAUUAUAAAAUUAAAAUAGAGAUAAUUAAUAAUGUUUAAUUAUAUUUUCGUCAUUUCAAUCGUUUAUUAAUAACUUAGUAUCCACUAUUGGGCGGAGAAGAAUCCGUUUAGAAAGGAGGAGGAUCUUGUCCAGGAGGAAGAGCAGGAGAAGGACCAGUUUGAGGAUAAAGAGGAGAAGGAGGUCAACAUUCACAAGAUUCACCAUCUGGAGUUGCUGGUUGUCCGUUACCGCAAAUUGAGGGCGUCUCCGUGAUUAGUUUUGGAAAACAGCCUGGUGAACAAGGUGGUGUUUUUUGCGAAUUUAUUGAGAGUACACAGAAUAAUAAAACACAACAUAAGGGAAAUAUUACAAAGUUUUGGGACUUCAUUUUCAUACUUGCUAGUAGAAAAUGUAAGAUCUCACUCAAUCUCUGUUGAUAUUUUUAUAGUUAAAUCGGCAUCAACUUGAACGGAUUUUGAAAAAUGUAGGCUUAUUUUCGUCGUGAUGUUUUGAAGACAUUAUAAUCGACAGUUUUUUACUAUUACUAAUUUCUGUAUUAUUGUAUAAAACAAUACUUACAAUACAAUAAUAAUAAUGUGGAUUUCACGUACAUUUUGACAUUUAUAUCGUAAAAUGUAUAUUUUUCCCGGGUUUUCUCAUUUAUUAAGAAAACUUCUGAAAAAAUCGAAAAAUGAACUCCCUAGAGUAUCUCUGUACACGGAUUUCCUUUUAUGAAAGGCGUUUCACUUAAAAAUCGGAGAUUUCUGGUAGAAAAGUUGCGCACAGAUAAAAAAUAAAAAUAAAAUAAACAUCUUUGUAUAACCAUAAGCUUCUUCGUUCCACUCAGGAUCUAAAAGAAAACACGUCGUUCAUAUAAAACUGUGCAUAAGGAGGAAAAACACACAUUUACGGUAGUGAGCUUUGUGAUCGAUAAUAUCAAGUAAUCCGUAGAAGAUGAUAUGGAUAAAGGCAUUUUCGCUGAAGAAGGAACCUCCUCCUUUCCGAUAAUGUUAAUGCCUUAAGUACAGUAUAGCAUGGUCACCAUUGAGAAAUUCACCACAUAGUAUAUGUCUGUAAAGUAACAUUUAGUUUGGAAAUAUCAGUUUUCAGUGAUAUUAUAAUAAACCCACUUCCCUAUAACCUAUAUAAUAUACUCAUCAGUCAUCACACAACAGUCGUCGAUGCUUUCAAUAAAAAUGUAAAAAUCAAAAUUCGCCUUGUUUACCUAUACAUACUAUCAGCUAUUCUCGUAUGAAAAAUAUUUGGAAAACUUGUCGAAAAAUAGAUAAUAUUUUAAUCUAAACAAAAUAAAUCACCUGUAUUAUACCCGAAUGGAAUUACGUGAUUUUUACAUAGUCAUGACGUUGUAAUUAUUACCAACACAUUUAUGGUGUUUGUAUCGAUACAAAGAUUUUAAAACGUGGUAUGUACGAGUAAAUAGGACCUAGUCGAUAGAUACAACAAUAUAAGUACCCACACUAAACAAUAAUCGAAACGUCAAAAACAAAAUAAAAAUAAAUAUUAUAUUACUGAUAAUAUAUAGAGAAUAUAGGUUAGGUUAUAUAUAGAAUAUUAUGAGUUUUUUCCUCCGAACAUGCUUUAUCAGUGUUGUUUCACGUAUGAUGUAUUCAUCAGGGUACUUAUUUGAAUUUAAUGGACGAGUAAGGAGCCGUCCACAAUGGUACGUUUUUUGAAUUCAUCUCAUCCCAUCUGGUGACGCGCAACUAGGAAAUAAACUGGCAAUUACAAGUGUCGCGUUCGAUAUUAUAACGUCCGACAUUUCAUUAGUAUAUUGUUAACGGUAUAACAUUGUAGGCGAUAAUAUUUAUUGCAAUAUAGAACGGUGAAAUAUCAUAUUGACGUGUUGGCGUGUUGCAUUAACUUUCCAAACGACGAUAUUAACGAACAAUUAACAUUACAGCCAGAAUAAUUAUGUCUACAGCAUAAGUAAAAAUUGUAAUAGGUAAUCAUAGGUUAAGCCUGG